AUUGAACGCUGGCGGCGGGCUUAACACAUGCAAGUCGAGCGGGGUGAUGGUGCUUGCACUAUCACUUAGCGGCGGACGGGUGAGUAAUGCUUAGGAAUCUGCCUAUUAGUGGGGGACAACAUCUCGAAAGGGAUGCUAAUACCGCACACGUCCUACGGGAGAAAGCAGGGGAUCACUUGUGACCUUGCGCUAAUAGAUGAGCCUAAGUCGGAUUAGCUAGUUGGUGGGGUAAAGGCCUACCAAGGCGACGAUCUGUAGCGGGUCUGAGAGGAUGAUCCGCCACACUGGGACUGAGACACGGCCCAGACUCCUACGGGAGGCAGCAGUGGGGAAUAUUGGACAAUGGGGGGAACCCUGAUCCAGCCAUGCCGCGUGUGUGAAGAAGGCCUUAUGGUUGUAAAGCACUUUAAGCGAGGAGGAGGCUCUUUUGGUUAAUACCCAAGAUGAGUGGACGUUACUCGCAGAAUAAGCACCGGCUAACUCUGUGCCAGCCGCCGCAGUAA
rnacentral:rRNA from 1 species